CUCUGCUUCUAAAUGUCAAUGUCUUGUCCUCUUGUCCAACCCUUAAGGCUGGUUCUGCCGCCGUCUAAUCCGGAUGAGGGAUCCUCUUCACUGUAAACAAUGAGUCCACUAGCGACUGUGGAGAGAUGGGAAAGCUCUUGUAAAUGACAUGAGGCUCAUCGCCGAGCACACAGCGAGAGGUCAAACACACUUUGGCCCCCUGGCUAUGGUCAAAAGCCCGAGGUCACACGCAGAUAAAGAGGAGGAGAGCACCCAGAACAAGCCUGGAUAAGAGAUAAGUAAUGAAUCUGCUUGUAAAUGCACUGAUCAUGGUCUUUGUGUGUGUGUGUGUGGGGGGGGGGUUGCCGUCACCUAUGAAAGCACUGUGGAAGACAGAUGAUAAUGCAACCUGUUGUCUUAUCUUCAUAUGUGAUGAAAGAUUUGAAGUCAUUCUACCUCCCUCCCCACUCUCCACCUCCACACAAACACCUUUAUGGCAUUCCUAAAGCAAAACCAAGGUAGCCCCUUGGAGACCACAAUGUGUGUGAGUGUGUGUGUGUCAUUGUCCAAGCCCCUUUGUGCAGCUAAUAGGUCCUCAGAGGGGUAGGGGGAGGAGAUAUUGUGUGUUAAUUUGAAUAAAAGUCCCCUUAAUUAUGCCACUGUUUGCCCCGCGUGUCUCUUCUGUUGUGGGAUGUGUUAAACUAAACUUGCCUUCAGGGGGCAGUGUGGUGCUCACAUGCAGAUAAUACAAAGAUUUGAUGGAAAGACACAAAGUCGUCAGUCGUUGCUAAAUUGCAGCGAUAUAACUCGUUUUUACCAGAAUAGGAGAAUAUAGCAGUUUUGUUGUGCUUUCUUAAUGUGUUGCUGCACCGUUUGUGUCCAUGUAAAGGUGUAUCCUGCAACAUCCUUGCUAAUUUUGUGCUAUUUUCACGAUACUGUUAGCGUUAAAGGUGAAGUCAAGUGAAUGAUGUUUUACUGUUAUUUUCGUAACUUUUUUUAUAUAACCCUUUUCUAUGCUCACGCAUUAAAAACAGACUCGACAAAUGGAUAGUAUGCCAUUAAGUGCAAGUUGAUAGAUUUGAUUGAAUGUAAACAUCCAUCAUGUGAGUAAAUAAAUUAAAGAACAGGAAAUGUUUUAAAUAGUAUAUUACAUAGAUAAGAUUAAAUACAGAGUUUUUUCAAAAAGAAUGCUCUCACCCCCCAAAAAAUCCUCACAUCUAAUAGACACUGGUAUGAGAAAAUAUAAACUGUAAGAG